rnacentral:misc_RNA from 1 species
GUAUAUAGUUUAUAGGUACAAGACCCAAUGAUACAUUCUGUUACAUUCUUUGGGGUAUAUGAAAAACAUAGGCCUAGAUAAUUACAAGGAAAGCCGACUGUGAAGCACAGCGAUCCCACCGACCGAGUUGCCUCGGAAAAAAUUUUCUAGGUCUACAAAAGGUGCACAGGUGGAGAUAUAAAGAUGAUGAGCGUGCACAUACCCCGGUAAAGGGGUCAGCUACAACACAUCAAGAUUAUUCAAUAAUGAUCCUUCCGCAGGUUCACCUACGGAAA